rnacentral:lncRNA from 1 species
CAUCAUCUUCACCCAAAUCGUAAUAAUGGACCUCUUACCACCAUUACCAGACGUUUCUAUGACUUGCCACCAUUGUCUAUCAUCACCAAUAGUCACAUACACUUUCCAUCAUAACUUACAAAACUAACGACUACUUCCCAUCAUCAUACAACUUCUCUUGCGGCUUCCUACCGCCAAGAACCUUCCUACGGAUGAAAUUGAUCAUCUAUAAUCGAUUAUCAAUAGUUUAGAUAAGUAGAUUUUCUCAAUUUUGAUAAUAAAAAUCGCUGUUUACAUACUGCA